rnacentral:rRNA from 1 species
AUUGAACGCUGGCGGCAUGCUUUACACAUGCAAGUCGAACGGUAACAGGCCGCAAGGUGCUGACGAGUGGCGAACGGGUGAGUAAUGCAUCGGAACGUGCCCAGUCGUGGGGGAUAACGCAGCGAAAGCUGCGCUAAUACCGCAUACGAUCUGUGGAUGAAAGCGGGGGACCGUAAGGCCUCGCGCGCUUGGAGCGGACGAUGUCAGAUUAGGUAGUUGGUGGGGUAAAGGCUAACCAAGCCAACGAUCUGUAGCUGGUCUGAGAGGACGACCAGCCACACUGGGACUGAGACACGGCCCAGACUCCUACGGGAGGCAGCAGUGGGGAAUUUUGGACAAUGGGCGCAAGCCUGAUCCAGCAAUGCCGCGUGCAGGAAGAAGGCCUUCGGGUUGUAAACUGCUUUUGUACGGAACGAAACGGUCCUGGUUAAUACCUGGGGCUAAUGACGGUACCGUAAGAAUAAGCACCGGCUAACUACGUGCCAGCCGCCGCCGUAAAAC